rnacentral:rRNA from 1 species
AUUGAACGCUGGCGGCAGGCUUAACACAUGCAAGUCGAGCGGGGGAAGGUAGCUUGCUACUGGACCUAGCGGCGGACGGGUAAGUAAUGCUUAGGAAUCUGCCUAUUAGUGGGGGACAACAUCUCGAAAGGGAUGCUAAUACCGCAUACGUCCUACGGGAGAAAGCAGGGGAUCUUCGGACCUUGCGCUAAUAGAUGAGCCUAAGUCGGAUUAGCUAGUUGGUGGGGUAAAGGCCUACCAAGGCGACGAUCUGUAGCGGGUCUGAGAGGAUGAUCCGCCACACUGGGACUGAGACACGGCCCAGACUCCUACGGGAGGCAGCAGUGGGGGAUAUUGGACAAUGGGGGGAACCCUGAUCCAGCCAUGCCGCGUGUGUGAAGAAGGCCUUAUGGUUGUAAAGCACUUUAAGCGAGGAGGAGGCUACUCUAGUUAAUACCUAGGGAUAGUGGACGUUACUCGCAGAAUAAGCACCGGCUAACUCUGUGCCAGCCGCCGCGGUAA